rnacentral:lncRNA from 1 species
AGGAUGAAGCAGGAUCUGGGGUCUGGAAUGGGGGAGUCACAAUAAUCCCUCUGCUCCAGGGGAAGAUGGAAUUGAGGGUAAAGGGCUUGGAGGGUAAUGCAGAGAGAGAGAAAAGGAGAAACGGGGGGACCCAGCAGAAAGCGAGGGUGAGGGAAGGGGGAGGGAGGGAGACUGAGACAUAAAGAGAACAGUGGUGGCAAAGGCCUGGGACAGUCAGGAGGAAGGUGGAGCCUCUCACUGACAGCAGAAACCCAUCUGGCUUGGCAGACACCUGCUUCUCACGAAGAGGUGAGGCUGCAGCGCUGUUCCAUGCAACACCUCCCCACCCACCCCCAGCCACCAGACAGAGACUGUGGGCAGAGCUUGGCCUUCUCCCAACCCUGAGGGGCUACCAGGAGGUACAGGUGGGAGCACCAGGCUAGAGAUGGAGGGAGGAGAGAAGCUCUGGCAGAGAAUGCUGACCAAGAGGAGGCAGGGCAAGCAGGCUGUGCUGACCUCAGCCCAGGGAACCUCUCGGGGGAGACAAGAAGACAGGUGGCCAGUGGGCCUGGGGAGGUGGUAUUGUCUUCAGGGGCCUCUGGGAGAGCAGGCCAAGCAGGACAGAAGGCGGCACAGCUGCUGAGGGUUGUAGAAGCUGAGAGAAGAGAGGUGAGAGCUGCGGAUCAGGAAGACUCAAGGGAGGAGAGGAGAAAUUUGGAUACAGAAGGAAGACAAGGUGAAGACACAGGGAGAACAUAAAAUGGAGAUGAAAGCAGCUGGUGGAGCCGUGCAUCUGCAAGCACCAGAGAUCGCCAGCAAGCAACAGAUCCUAGUAGAGAGGCCUGGAACAGAUCCUCCCCUGCAGAAACCAACCCUGCUGACACCUUGAUUUCAACCUCAGCCUCCAGAACUAGAUGAGGUCUCCCUUUGUCACUCGGGUUGGAGCAUAGUGGUGCUUCAUAGCUCACUGCAGCCUCAACUUCCUGGACCCAAAGGAUCCUCCUGUCUCAGCCUCCCAAGUAAAGGCUUGGAGGAAAGCAGACCUCAGAAGCCUGGAGGAAAGAGAGAAGCUGCCUAAACCUUGGCCAAGCCAAAGCAGACGGCCUCACAAGAUCAAGAUCCUCUCUUGCUUCUCUAGAGAAUGUGCUCCAUCAAAAAGAGAGAAUAAACCAAGAAGAGGAAGACAGAGGAUCCGGAAACAGGGAUGAUGGUGCACGGAAGUCCCAGGAUGACAGCUGUGCAUCAGGCCUUCAGCAGCCAGGAUGGGAGCAGAAGGAUGGGGAGCUCUGGGAGUGUCUCCAAGAAAGAAAAAGAAACUGAUCAAAUAUCUAAUUUUUAAAACAUAUUGAGGGGAAAUUUAUACUUCUGCAAUAAAUUUUAGGAUAUCGUAAUAGAAACUAAGAAAAUAACAAAUAAAAAAACAAAAAAACAAAAAACAAGGUAAUUAUCAACCGCGGGAGAAGAAAGGUUGUAUGAGAAAAGAAAUAAAAACAGAAUUCAGUACAUGGAUC